rnacentral:rRNA from 1 species
AUACGGAAGGUCCGGGCGUUAUCCGGAUUUAUUGGGUUUAAAGGGAGCGCAGGCGGAGAUGCAAGCGUGACGUCAAAUUUCGGGGCUCAACCCCGUCUCGCGUCGCGAACUGCGUCCCUUGGUUGCGGGAAGGGGAGGCGGAACUCGUGGUGUAGCGGUGAAAUGCAUAGAUAUCACGAAGAACUCCGAUCGCGAAGGCAGCCUUCCGGCCCGUCAACGACGCUCAUGCUCGAAGGUGCGGGUAUCAAUCAGGAGUAGAUACCCUGGUAGUCCGCGCAGUAAACGAUGGACACCCGCGGUUUGGCCUAUAUGGCUGAGCCGCCAAGCGAAAGCGUUAAGUGUCCCCCCUGGGGAGUACGCCGGCAACGGUGAAACUCAAAUGAAUUGACGGGG